rnacentral:rRNA from 1 species
AGUGAACGCUGGCGGUAGGCCUAACACAUGCCAGUCGAACGGCAGCACAGUAAGAGCUUGCUCUUACGGGUGGCGAGUGGCGGACGGGUGAGGAAUACAUCGGAAUCUACUUUUUCGUGCGGGAUAACGUAGGGAAACUUACGCUAAUACCGCAUACGACCUACGGGUGAAAGCAGGGGAUCUUCGGACCUUGCGCGAUUGAAUGAGCCGAUGUCGGAUUAGCUAGUUGGCGGGGUAAAGGCCCACCAAGGCGACGAUCCGUAGCUGGUCUGAGAGGAUGAUCAGCCACACUGGAACUGAGACACGGUCCAGACUCCUACGGGAGGCAGCAGUGGGGAAUAUUGGACAAUGGGCGCAAGCCUGAUCCAGCCAUACCGCGUGGGUGAAGAAGGCCUUCGGGUUGUAAAGCCCUUCUGUUGGGAAAGAAAAGCAGCAGGUUAAUACCCCGCUGUUCUGACGGUACCCAAAGAAUAAGCACCGGCUAACUUCGUG